rnacentral:rRNA from 1 species
UGGGGAAUUUUGGACAAUGGGCGCAAGCCUGAUCCAGCCAUGCCGCGUGCGGGAAGAAGGCCUUCGGGUUGUAAACCGCUUUUGUCAGGGAAGAAAUCUUCUGAGUUAAUACCUCGGGAGGAUGACGGUACCUGAAGAAUAAGCACCGGCUAACUACGUGCCAGCAGCCGCGGUAAUACGUAGGGUGCAAGCGUUAAUCGGAAUUACUGGGCGUAAAGCGUGCGCAGGCGGUUUUGUAAGACAGAGGUGAAAUCCCCGGGCUCAACCUGGGAACUGCCUUUGUGACUGCAAGGCUUGAGUGCGGCAGAGGGGGAUGGAAUUCCGCGUGUAGCAGUGAAAUGCGUAGAUAUGCGGAGGAACACCGAUGGCGAAGGCAAUCCCCUGGGCCUGCACUGACGCUCAUGCACGAAAGCGUGGGGAGCAAAACAGGAUUAGAUACCCUGGUAGUCCACGCCCUAAAACGAUGUCAA